AACGAACGCUGGCGGCAUGCCUUAUACAUGCAAGUCGAACGAGACCUUCGGGUCUAGUGGCGCACGGGUGCGUAACGCGUGGGAAUCUGCCCUUGGGUUCGGAAUAACAGUUGGAAACGACUGCUAAUACCGGAUGAUGACGAAAGUCCAAGGAUUUAUCGCCCAGGGAUGAGCCCGCGUAGGAUUAGCUAGUUGGUGAG
rnacentral:rRNA from 1 species